rnacentral:sRNA from 1 species
AGUAGAGCAAGUUUUUAUAAUUUUGCAAGAAGUGGCAUUACUGAAGAAAAUAGAGCUCCGAAUUCGAUAUUGACUCAAAACUGUCCUGAAAAAACUUGGGCCCAACGCUGCAAUGGAUUUACUAGACCUUAUCUAAAAAAUAUACAGCCACAUAGAAAUCUGAUAGUUAAAGUCAACAACUACUUACGUGACAAAGUAGCAAGGCCCUAAUUCUAUACGAAAAUGAAAGGGAUGGCUUUAAUGAAAUGGAGUUCUGAACUGGCCAACACAGCUAAAAUUAAUGUUAUGCAGUGUAUGCUAAGUCAUAACAGCUGUAACAGAAAUGACUAUAGGAUAACUGGACAAAAUGUGGCAAUUACCACCUACUUGGACGCAGAUGUGCAACAAUCGGAUGCUCAGCUGGUGAAUGGAACACUUCAGAAUUGAUGGAAUGAAUUACAGAUUUACCAACGGCAAUCUAAUGCUGAUAGGCAGUAUGAUCCGCCAGUUGCUAUAAAAUAAAGUGAUCGUAAUAUAAACAUCUCUUUCGCCGUCGAGAUUUAACUGCUAUGUUGAAGUAGAAGAGCGAUGCCGUAGGCUGUGAUGCUGCCAGAUAUUCUGCAGAUCGAGAUAAUAAAUUCCUAAUGACCUCCGUCUAUGCCACAGCCUCACCCCCAGAUCUGUUUUACAAAAUAAGUCGAUCGAGCCACGGCUGCAUAACUGGUUACAAUCCCCAAUUUCCACACUUGUGCAGUGAAUCUGAAAAAUAUUACUUUUAGGCAAAGAAACAACAGUAAAUAUCAUCUCCGGAAGAUUUUCAAUAAAGAUAUUGAGUAUGUUAA